rnacentral:rRNA from 1 species
GGGUUGUGAGGUUAAGCGACUAAGCGUACACGGUGGAUGCCCUGGCAGUCAGAGGCGAUGAAGGACGUGCUAAUCUGCGAUAAGCGUCGGUAAGGUGAUAUGAACCGUUAUAACCGGCGAUUUCCGAAUGGGGAAACCCAGUGUGAUUCGUCACACUAUCAUUAACUGAAUCCAUAGGUUAAUGAGGCGAACCGGGGGAACUGAAACAUCUAAGUACCCCGAGGAAAAGAAAUCAACCGAGAUUCCCCCAGUAGCGGCGAGCGAACGGGGAGGAGCCCAGAGCCUGAAUCAGUGUGUGUGUUAGUGGAAGCGUCUGGAAAGGCGCGCGAUACAGGGUGACAGC